rnacentral:rRNA from 1 species
UACGUAGGGUGCAAGCGUUAUCCGGAAUCACUGGGCGGUAAAGCGUGCGUAGGUGGGAAUUUAAGUGAGAUGUGAAAUCGUGUGGCUCAACCAUAUCGUUGUAUCUCAAUACUGGUCCUAGAGGACGGCAGGAGGCAAGUGGAACUAGCAGUGUAGCAGUGAAAUGCGUAGAUAUUGCUAGAACACCAAUGGCGAAGGCAGCUUGCGUGGGACCACUCCUGACACUGAGGUACGAAAGCGUGGGAGCGAACAGG